AUAGCGAGCCUUAUCUUGAUCGUUAUGCCGCCUGUGUCGCAAGUGGUAUGGAGGACUGCGGGUUUGUUACGCCACACCACUUUAGACAAACGUUUCUUACCGCAUUUUUCUUGUUGCUAUUGCUCAAUGAAGCAGCGGUUGAUCGUAUGCACGAUUGAGGUUUGCGAGAGCUGGAGGAGCUACAAAGGCACGACGAAGCAACAGACAACUCCCACCCCAAUGAGAAAGGCUGACUUGAGCUCAUCGGCCCAAUCCGACGACGCACAUGCGAGCGGCAUGUGAAGCCGCGGACGGCACAGGACAACCGCAGCCGGAUUCUGAGAACUUGAGGAACCAUCAAGGGGAGUAGGCGGGCUGGAGUGGGAGAGCCAGAUGCUGAUUGUUGAGCAAGCGCAAGAUUCCUUGUGCGCAUUUGCCAGUUUUUGCCAGUCCGGUCCGCUCCAAGUCGAAGAGACAGACUGCGUCCUUGGAAAUGCGCCUCAUUUUAUUGACCAGAUGAUUUAUUUUCAAAUGUAGCUAGCUUGUUAGCAACACUUCUCAGUGGUGAGUUAAAUUUAGAAGACAUCUUUAUCACUCUACGGGGACUUGAACCCCAUUUGCUAAUAUGACCUAAUGUGACCUCUCUGACAUCAACCCAUUAUUAGCACUCCUCUUAACUCGAAAAUAAUUUGAACGUCAACUCAGGCCCUAACCCUUAGCCCAACUCUGACGUCAAUCCAGUUGUAUAUUUGCAUUCAUAGCACGGUUCUCAAAGAACACGUUGUGUCAUGCAGAAUUUCAUGAGCCGCCACAGAUUUGCAACUGACAUGGAAGCAGCGCCAGCUCCCCACUGAAGUCAGUCAGUCAGUCAGUCAGUCAGUCAGUCAGUCAGUCAGUCAGCCUGUAGGUGGCACAUUAACCCACUUUUUGACUGGGCCGCCUCCCUUCUUUGUGUGAGAGAAUGCGCCUCCAGCCCCGCCCGCCGCCCCGCUCCGCCCCUAUUACAAAUCUGGAGCACCAUCUUUAAUUGGAAAGAUCACGUUGCAAUUUGCUGCCAUUUAGGGAGAUAUAAAAAUCCAUUUGGACCCAGCAGAAAUAGCUCCCAUGUGUCAGACUCCCUGCAAAGCUGCAAUUAUGGCCUCUUUAUAUUUCUAUUCUACUAUUAUGUCUAUUGUGGGCUACAUCCAAACACAAAGCAUAUGGAUGGCGUACACAGCACGUUGUGGGAUGGGACAAACAUGUUUGGCAUAAAAAGCAGCUUUAAAAUAAUCUUCUCUAUUUAAAAAAUAUAGUCAUGAGAAUACAAUUGGUGAAAAUGAAGGCAUUUAUUGUGUCAUUUUAAACCAAAUAAUCGUGUGAGACAACGUGCAAACGCACAACUACCAAUAUGUUAUUCAGUUACAGCGAAACUAAUUUAUCCUGAAUAACACUUGACAUUAAAAUAUUGAUCAUUUCUAAAACAAAAAAGAUCAAAUAAAAAUCAAAUUAACUUCCUUAGAACUACAUUAAAAUGAGUCAAAUUAUCUUUAAAAACAAUUUUAUAUGAAAAUUAAAUCAAAUUGUCCUCAUUUAAAAGAAAUAAUGAAAUUAUAUAUUUAAAAACAACAACGAAAGACCAAAUACAUUUGAUGUUGUAUUUUAAUGAUAGUUUCAACAACUUUUCCCCCCCCCUCAAUUGUAUUUUGGUUUUUCCCUCAGAAGAGGGUUUUCCAAACUGUUCUGAGUCAUUAGUUAGAAAGCAUUCAUUCGUACGAGCUCUUUUAUUUAUCAUCUCAUAGAAAGACCAUUUCCUUUUUAAUUUUUUUACAUGCAUGUUUGGAGACGUGCAUAUGUGGCGCACAAGUUGCAAUGCGUAUUUUGGGUCUCGACUAGUGGUAACGGAAGGCUUGGCGUCUACUCGCAGCAUUCCUUGGAGCAUGCCGAGCAAUCACGUGUAGUGGGGCCACGCCAGCUCCAAUUGGCUGCACGGGCCAGCACGUGUCCGUACGACAGAGUCCCCCCCGUUAUGUAAGGAGACAGGUAGUAGUAGUAGUAGUAAUAACAGUAGAAAUUAUUAUUAAAUAAAAUAUACUUUUGCACACUGAAGCACAUGCAGAACUUAAAACACUAUUA